rnacentral:rRNA from 1 species
UACGAAGGGGGCUAGCGUUGUUCGGAAUUACUGGGCGUAAAGCGUAUGCAGGCGGAUCGUUAAGUCGGGGGUGAAAUCCCGAGGCUCAACCUCGGAACUGCCUUCGAUACUGGCGAUCUUCGAGUCCGGGAGAGGUGAGUGGAACUCCGAGUGUAGAGGUGAAAUUCGUAGAUAUUCGGAAGAACACCAGUGGCGAAGGCGGCUCACUGGCCCAGUACUGACGCUGAGAUACGAAAGCGUGGGGAGCAAACAGG